AUGUCAUGCUCCAGGUUACCCCGUGGACUCUACCAACACAUCAACACACUCAUUAGAAAAUUAUGGUGGGGAAGUAAAUAAGGUGAAAGAAAGACUACUUGGGUCUCCUAGGAUGUGAUGACACGACCAAAGUAUCUUGGUGGGCUCGACCUUAGAGACAUUGAGUUGUUCAAUCUUGCGUUGCUUGCACGUUAGGCAUCACGAAUCUUGAAUGAUCCAUCUUCGUUAAGCGCCAGAAUCCUUAGAGCUCAUUACUUUCCUGAUAGUGACAUUCUCCUGGCACAACUUGGAGUGCCUCCCUCUCAAAUUUGGUGUGCUAUAUUGGAUGGCAGGGAAACUUUGGUCCCGGGGCUUGUAAGGCAAAUUGGUGAUGGUGAAACCAUGCAAAUCUGAACUGACAACUGGAUCCCCCGCGAACAUAACAUGUGUCCCCUGAUACGUCUCCAACGUAUCUAUAAUUUUUGA
rnacentral:rRNA from 1 species